rnacentral:misc_RNA from 1 species
CGACCGGGGUUGGGCCUGCGCGGCAACGCUGUGCCGCGCCGCCGCCGGC